AUCGGACAUGCCUAUGAUGAUAUACAGUCUCAAAACCUACGGUUUUUGCAGCAAAUCGUGGAGAGAGAUGAGUACGACAUGAAGGUGAUUAAUUACAAAAGUACUUAAUAGCAUUUCCUUAAAUCAAAUUCUUUUGGAAAUUAAAUUAAUUCAUCCAACUUUACCUACUUAAAAUUUGAAGUGAUGUCUCUAUUUGAUAAUGAAGCCGGUAAAAAAUGUUGAAAUUAUUUUUAUAGCAUGGCUCACGGGAGGGGUUUGCCUUUCCAGUUAUGAUAAUUGUUUUCUUCAGCUCUCUGAUCAAGAAAUUCAUGCUGGUUUGAUUGCACACUUUUCAAGUUAUUACUUUCACCAGAUUUAUCUUGUGAACUGUUUGAUAUUUACAUUGAGUCUGAAAAACAAACUUUAGUCAUCCGUGAAAAUGUUUUGGCAGCUUUAGUGAAACAUACGUACACAUUUGGAACUUGGGAGGUCUAUCUUAGCUUUCAUUUGCAGUAAAAUUCCCCCUUGCUUCCUCCUACGUAAUAUUAUUAUCCUUUUCUUAUUUCUACAAAAGAAUCAGAUUUAUACCGUAUAUAUUGCAGCAGUUAAGCUUUCUCAGUGGCUAAAUAAGGUGAAACUGGACACAAUCGUCCUAGAAAGUUUUCACUUUCCCACUUCCACGAUGUUAAACUCUGUGGUAAUGAUGUUUCUGAACAUACAUGUUUCGUUCUUGUUCUGAAACAAGAACACAGGAUACAAGCAUGUUGUCUUGUCAAGGAUUCUUGCAUUUGUUUUUGCAGUUUUCAUACCGUAAAAGAUGCACAAGUAUUUUUGCUUUCAUUGAGGUUUAUUUUGUGAGUGUCAUCAGGUUGUUUUACCUCCUGUUUCAGCUUGUUUUAGAGGGAGUGCCGGCAACACAGAUGAGAGAUGCCCUAUUGAUGAAGAUGUCAGAUGAAUUCAGAAUUCAAGAGAAAGAAAUAGCUUUUGAGAUUUCUUGAAAAACCGUCUCCAUUACAUGCUGCCCUCUUCUCUAUAUAUAUACAGAUAGAAAAUGGCUUUACAAGGAAAUUAUAUCCUAUAUAUGCUAUACAAUCCCUAAGAAUAUAAAAAUAUAAAUAUGGAAAGAAAUCUUCAUUAUUAUAUACGGUAACACCCCCCCUCAAAUUGAUGCGGGGAAGUCAACCAGCAACAAUUUGCCAACAAGAAAUUGAUGUCGUUGUCGAGUCAAUGCCUUGGUGAAGAUGUCGGCCACUUGAAGAUCAGAAGAAAUGUAAGGAAGAGAUAUAACCCGACCCUCCAAUGUAUCGCGGAUAAAAUAACAAUUAACUUCAAUGUGCUUGGUGCGCUCAUGAAAGACAGGAUUAUUGGCAAUUUGGAUAACACUCAUGUUAUCAGCAUGAAGAGGAGUAGAAUUAGCUUGAGGAAAACCUAGCUCUUCCAGAAUACUGCGUAACCAUAUAAUUUCUGAGCAAGCCAUAGACAAUGCACAAUACUCAGCCUCAGUAAAGGACUUAGAGACACGAUCGUGUUUCUUACAUUUCCAAGAGAUCAAUACAUCACCAAAAAACACACACCAGCCUGUAGUAGAACGUCGUGUAUUCGGGCAAGCAGCCCAAUCAGCAUCAUUAUAAGCAAAAAGCUGAAAAGAUGACCCUGUAGGAAAGAACAACCCACGAGAAGGUGACCCGCGAAGAUAGCGAAUAAGGCGGCGGACUGCAGCAAGGUGAAGAUGCCAAGGAGAAGACAUAAACUAGCUCACUUGAUGGACGGCAUAUGAGAUGUCCGGUCUAGUAGUGCUCAGAUAGAUAAGACUCCCAACCGAGCGACGAUAGAGUGUGGGAUCAUCCAGGACAUCCCCUUCAUCUCUUCUGAAUUUCACAUUUACCUCCAUAGGAGUAUCAACCGAAGAGGUAUCCUCCAAACCAGCUAAUGUGAUAAGAUCUUGAGCAUACUCAUGUUGGUUUAAGAAAUUGCCAUUGUCUCAAUGAUAAACUUUUAGCCCUAAGAAGUAAGUGAGGCGACCCAUGUCCUUCAUAUGGAAAGUGGCAUGCAACAAAUUUUGAAGUUUAAUAAUCACACUACAGUCAGUUCCAGUAAUAAUUAUAUCAUCCAAAUACACCAAAAGGAGAACAAUGCCUGCCGCAGACUUGUGGAAGAAGAGAGAAGAAUCAAACUGACUUUGUGUAAAAUCGAAUGUAAGAAGCGUACCACGAAAUUUUUCAAACCAUGCCCGAGGGGCCUGCUUGAGCCCAUACAAAGAUCGCCUUAACUUACAAACAUCAUGAGGAGAGGUAGCAGGUAAACCAGAAGGAAGCUACAUAUAAAUCUCCUCUUGCAGAUCACCAUGAAGAAAAGCAUUCUUCACAUCCAUCUGAUGUAGUUGCCAUGACUGGGAGGCAGCAAUAGCUAAUAUUGUUCGAACCGUGGUCAUUUUGGCAACAGGGACAAAUGUUUCCUCAUAGUCAACCCCAUAUUCUUGUUUGUUACCUAGAGCUACAAGUCUAGCUUUGUAUCGAUCCAAAGAACCAUCAGGCCGAAGUUUGACUGAGAAAACCCAUUUACUCCCAAUAGGCUUGACCGCAGAAGGACAAGGAACAAUGUCCCAAGUAUGAUUCUCCUUAAGGGCAUGAAGUUCUGCUUGCAUUGCAUCCCGCCAACACUUAUGUUCCAUAGCCUGUUUGUAGCAAGAGGGAAUAGAAAUAGAUGAUAAAGUAGUUACGAGGGAAACAGGAGGAGAGAAACCAUACCGAUUAGGAGGUCGAGAAGGACGAGUAGAUCGACGAAGAUUGGUGACAGAUGUAGAAUGAUCAGGUGCCGAGUCGAGAUCACGAGGGGGCAUAGAGGGAGUACGAACGGACUCAUGUGGAUGACGAUGGGCAUACACAAAAUCAUGUUUAAACCUUUCCACAACCGGAGGGGAAUCAGAAUAACUAGGCAAAGGAGAGAAUGUUGCAGAUGGGGACUCGACGUGAGAGUGAAAGAAAUAUUAAAUUUCAAAGAAAGCCAUAUCUCUAGAGACACGAAUACGACGAGCAUUAGGAUCAUAACAAACAUAACCUUUUUGUGAGGUAGCAUAGCCAAGAAAAGCACAUUGAACAGAUUGAGCAGUAAGUUUAUGUCGUUCAUGAGCAGGGAGAUGCACAAAGCAGACACAACCAAAUGUACGAAGAUCAAAAUAUGAUGGAGGACGACCAAAAAACCUAAAGUAAGGUGAAUCAUGAUUUAAUGUAGGAGAUGGUAAACGAUUAAUUAGAAGGAUAGCAGUAGACAGUGCUUCACACCAAAAAUGAGGAGGAACGGAUGCUUCAAGUAAAAAAGUCCAUACCACAUCCAGAAGAUGGCGAUUUUUCCGUUCAGCAACACCAUUUUGUUGCGGUGUCGAAGGACAAGAACACUGAGACAUGAUUCCUUUGCUUUGGAGAAAGGCUUGAAACUCAUUAGACAUGUACUCUCCCCCAGAGUCAGAUUGUAGGAUUUUGAUAUUGACAGAAAACUGAUUCUCAAGAAGAGCAAGAAAGCGCUUAAAGCAAGAAAACUUCAGACUUAGCCUUUAAAAAAUAAACCCAAGUGAAGCGACUAAAGUCAUCAAUGAAAGUAACAAAAUACUUGUAGUGUGCAUGAGAAACAACAAAGGCAAUCCCCCAAACAUCACUAUGGAUAAUAUCAAAACAUUGUGAGGCAUGAGAUGCAUGAGAAGGAAACAGUAAAACUUUACUUUUGCCAAUUUUGCAAGUUGUAAAAUCAAACGAAAGAUUAAGUAAAGAACUUGUUUUAUUUCCCAAUAAACCAGAAUUAAAUAAAGUACGAAGUACAUCCGAGUUUGGGUGGCCUAAACGUUUAUGCCACAUUUUAUUUCCAGUAUUAUCAGUACUACAUGCUAAGGAAAGUAAAGGAAAACGGAGAAUGACUGGGGAAGGAGAAAUAUGUAAAGGGAAUAGCCGUCCCACUUUAGGCCCCUUCGCGAUCAUCUUCCCGGACACUGGAUCCUGUACAACACAGCCAGAGCGAGAAAAAUGGACAUUAUAAUUAUUGUCAACCAAUUGACCAACAGAGAUAAGAUUCGUAGAAAGGAUAGGAGAUACAAAAACAUCAGGUAAGGACGGGGAAAGAUCACCAAUAGCACUUAUAGGCAGAGAAUUGCCAUUGGCGGUAUUAAUUUUCAUAUUGCCAUCAUAUUUUUUGACAUUGGAAAGGAGUUCAGUUGUAUUAGUCAUAUGAUUAGAGGCACCGGAGUCAAAAAACCAUGGCUUAGAAGAAGUGGAGUGAUUACCUGAGAUUCCAAAAGCAGAAAAAAUCAUCUGUUGUACCAUUUCAGGAGUGAGUGUGUUCGGAUUUGGACUAGGAGCAACUUGUGAGGCAGUAUGCAAUGUAGCAGAACUAGAGGCACCAGUGGAGGCAUGAUAUGCUGUGCUGUGUUUCCUUUCAGGGCGAAUGGGACAAGCUAAGAGAAUAUGACCUAGUUUCUUGCAGUAAUGACAAGAUUUCUUAGGACAAUCUCGAGCAAGGUGAUAAAAAACUUUACAGUUAUAGCACUGGACAUUACGCAUGUCCCGAUUCCUAUUCCUCCCUUGUGCUGCAUAAGCUACAGGAAUCAGAGUGUCGAUAGCAGUCCUUUGUUCCAAGGUUGCUUGAGUUAAGAUACGUUGUUCUUCACGGAGAAGUUCACUCAAACAUACAUCCAAAGAUGGUACCGGAUGACGAUUCAUCAGAUUAGAACGUGCAAUCUCAAAAUCUGAACGCAGCUUCAUCAAAAAUUGGUCUCUCUUACUUGUUUCAUGCACUUUUUGAACAGCAGAAAGAGCUGCAACGAGAACAUGAGCAUAAACAAUAUUCGAAUAAUCAGUCCAGAGAUUUUGGAAACUCGAAUAAUAAUCCUCAAUUGAAAGAUUUCCUUGGGUAAAAUUAGCCAUCUCAUAUUCCAAUUGGAAACGCCGAGCCGUAUUGUCCUGCUUGUAAAUCUUGCUCAAGUAAUUCCACAUGUCAGCGGCUGUUUUAUAAGGACUAAUUAUUGAGUACGAUGUGAGGCUCAACCGAGCUAAGAAUCCAUGUCAUAACCCGAGCAUCCUUUAUUUCCCACUUAGACAAAGCAUCGACGUCUGUAGGGGCGGGAUCACUUCCAUCAAUAUGACCCCAUAAGUCCUUUCCUUUGACAAAUAAUUGAAAUUGAAACUCCCAAGCAAAAUAAUUCUUUCCAAUAAAACGAAUGUGAAACUUAUCCGAAGACAUGAUGAAAUAAAUAGACUACUAUAUUAUUAUUGAACAAAUAAAAUACUCUUGCAAGAAGAAAAAUUAUUAAAUUCAAACAAUGCACCGACUGCAGCCUUCAAGCCAAACAGUAAACUGACCCACUAACCAGAGGAACCCGACUCACACCAGACAGCGAACAACACCAACGAACCCUAGCCGGAAGACGAGACCCAAACAACUGAGAGAGUCGACCGGGAAGAGAAGACUAGAAAUCCAACAGAACCCGACACAAACAGAGACCCACUGGAAUCUGAAUGGGAAGAACAAAACAGUGUCGCUAGAACUAGAACCCGGCAGAACAAGGACCAAAAAAGCCACACCAAAAGUCGGAGAUCAGAAGCACCGAAUCACACACCAAAAAUCGGCGACCGAAAGUGUCGAAUCGCCCACCAAGAAUCGACGACCAGAAGUGCCGAACACAACCCAGAUGGAAUCGCCCAAGGAGAAUCGACGGCAAGAAUCAGGUACCAAGCUCUGAUAUCAUGUCAGAUGAAUUCAGAAUUCAAGAGAAAGAAAUAGCUUUUGAGAUUUCUUGAAAAACCGUCUCCAUUACAUGCUGCCCUCUUCUCAAUAUAUAUACAGAUAGAAAAUGGUUUUACAAGGAAAUUAUAUCCUAUAUAUGCUAUACAAUCCCUAAGAAUAUAAAAAUAUAAAUAUGGAAAGAAAUCUUCAUUAUUAUGUACGGUAACAGAAGAAGCGUUACUUGGAAAGAAUAAAUUGUCAAAACAAGGCAACUGUUAGAUUUUAUGAUACUAAAGCUGCUAGAAUUGAAUAUCAGGUAAUAUUGAGGUGCCUCUGUUCUGUAGUGCCGAAUGUUGUGUCCGAUCAAUAUCAUAUUGGUAUUCUUUUUAUUGCAGUUGAAAUCCUACUCGGACCAAAUUCGGAGGUUUUCUAAAAUUAGGGCUCGAAGAACAGUUACUUUAGAGAACGCCCAAAAAAGAGUGUUAUAUGUGAGGAAGUCAUCUCAGCAACUGAGGAACACAUUUGAAGAAUCAAAAUCAAAGCUUGACAUAAGUACAGUUGGAUUUGCUAAGCUGCAGAUAGAAUUGUAAUGUGAUGUCAUUCCUAUCAUUUCUUGUUUUUAAACUAUUUCUCCUUACUAGGUUUGAGAAGAAAAGAAUAGAAGAAGACGUAGAAACUCUGAGAAGGAAAACAAAAAGAUUGAAGUUGCAUUCCAAGGUUUCAUCCCCAACUGAAAAGCUUCUGCAGGAACUUGGAGAAUACAAGGAAAUACUGAAGUGCAGUAUUUGAUUUGAUAGAAGUGAAGAGGUAUAUCCAUUUGGAAACAGGGAUCCCUGUGAAGUAUCAAGACAUUUACAACUUAAAAAUGAAACUCAAAUAUUAAUAAUGCUAAUACGCUACAAAGAAUUUGAAAGAUAAUAAAUGUGAUGUAUGAGGGAAAUGGCAAAAUUAUG
rnacentral:lncRNA from 1 species